rnacentral:lncRNA from 1 species
UUACGAUGAAUAAAAUGGCUAAGGCUCAAUGGGGUUUACGAAGGGAAACGGAAAUCUUGAAAGAGAAGGCAAGUGCAUAAUAUGAGAUCAUACAAAAAGAAAAAUAGUAUGUAUUUUCUUUAGAAGAAAAAAAAAAGAAAAAAAAAGAGAAGAAAAACAAAAGAGAAAAAUGCACUUGGCGAGACCUAAGACUCUAACAGAUAUAAAAUGCUCAGAAAAUUUGAGUAGAAAAAGAGUCAAAAGAGUGAAAUUAACCCCCAGAGUAUACGUGAUGC